GACGAACGCUGGCGGCGUGCUUAACACAUGCAAGUCGAACGGAAAGGCCCUGCUUUUGUGGGGUGCUCGAGUGGCGAACGGGUGAGUAACACGUGAGUAACCUGCCCUUGACUUUGGGAUAACUUCAGGAAACUGGGGCUAAUACCGGAUAGGAGCUCCUGCUGCAUGGUGGGGGUUGGAAAGUUUCGGCGGUUGGGGAUGGACUCGCGGCUUAUCAGCUUGUUGGUGGGGUAGUGGCUUACCAAGGCUUUGACGGGUAGCCGGCCUGAGAGGGUGACCGGCCACAUUGGGACUGAGAUACGGCCCAGACUCCUACGGGAGGCAGCAGUGGGGAAUAUUGCACAAUGGGCGGAAGCCUGAUGCAGCAACGCCGCGUGCGGGAUGACGGCCUUCGGGUUGUAAACCGCUUUCGCCUGUGACGAAGCGUGAGUGACGGUAAUGGGUAAAGAAGCACCGGCUAACUACGUGCCAGCAGCCGCGGUGAUACGUAGGGUGCGAGCGUUGUCCGGAUUUAUUGGGCGUAAAGGGCUCGUAGGUGGUUGAUCGCGUCGGAAGUGUAAUCUUGGGGCUUAACCCUGAGCGUGCUUUCGAUACGGGUUGACUUGAGGAAGGUAGGGGAGAAUGGAAUUCCUGGUGGAGCGGUGGAAUGCGCAGAUAUCAGGAGGAACACCAGUGGCGAAGGCGGUUCUCUGGGCCUUUCCUGACGCUGAGGAGCGAAAGCGUGGGGAGCGAACAGGCUUAGAUACCCUGGUAGUCCACGCUGUAAACGGUGGGUACUAGGUGUGGGGUCCAUUCCACGGGUUCCGUGCCGUAGCUAACGCUUUAAGUACCCCGCCUGGGGAGUACGGCCGCAAGGCUAAAACUCAAAGGAAUUGACGGGGCCCCGCACAAGCGGCGGAGCAUGCGGAUUAAUUCGAUGCAACGCGUAGAACCUUACCUGGGUUUGACAUGGAUCGGGAGUGCUCAGAGAUGGGUGUGCCUCUUUUGGGGUCGGUUCACAGGUGGUGCAUGGCUGUCGUCAGCUCGUGUCGUGAGAUGUUGGGUUAAGUCCCGCAACGAGCGCAACCCUUGUUCACUGUUGCCAGCACGUUAUGGUGGGGACUCAGUGGAGACCGCCGGGGUCAACUCGGAGGAAGGUGGGGAUGACGUCAAGUCAUCAUGCCCCUUAUGUCCAGGGCUUCACGCAUGCUACAAUGGCUGGUACAGAGAGUGGCGAGCCUGUGAGGGUGAGCGAAUCUCGGAAAGCCGGUCUCAGUUCGGAUUGGGGUCUGCAACUCGACCUCAUGAAGUCGGAGUCGCUAGUAAUCGCAGAUCAGCAACGCUGCGGUGAAUACGUUCCCGGGGCUUGUACACACCGCCCGUCAAGUCAUGAAAGUUGGUAACACCCGAAGCCGGUGGCCUAACCGUUGUGGGGGAGCCGUCGAAGGUGGGACUG
rnacentral:rRNA from 1 species